rnacentral:rRNA from 1 species
UACGAACGCUGGCGGCGUGCUUAACACAUGCAAGUCGAACGGAAAGGCCCUGCUUUUGUGGGGUGCUCGAGUGGCGAACGGGUGAGUAACACGUGAGUAACCUGCCCUUGACUUUGGGAUAACUUCAGGAAACUGGGGCUAAUACCGGAUAGGAGCUCCUGCUGCAUGGUGGGGGUUGGAAAGUUUCGGCGGUUGGGGCUGGACUCGCGGCUUAUCAGCUUGUUGGUGGGGUAGUGGCUUACCAAGGCUUUGACGGGUAGCCGGCCUGAGAGGGUGACCGGCCACAUUGGGACUGAGAUACGGCCCAGACUCCUACGGGAGGCAGCAGUGGGGAAUAUUGCAAAAUGGGCGGAAGCCUGAUGCAGCAACGCCGCGUGCGGGAUGACGGCCUUCGGGUUGUAAACCGCUUUCGCCUGUGACGAAGCGUGAGUGACGGUAAUGGGUAAAGAAGCACCGGCUAACUACGUG